ACCUACAGUCUCUUUAGGGGAUGGAAGGGAGAAACAAAGAAUCAAAAGUGCAAACCUAUUUAUUAGUACUCAAAGGGUCAAUGGUCUUUCAUUUUGUGUGCUUUUGAUUAACUUGUCUGUCUGACAUUUCAACUGAGACAGUCUAAACUCCUCUAACCCUUUUUUAUAUUGUCUCUGUGAUAUCUUUUCUUAGGUGCCAAUUAAAAAACUGUUCUCAUCACAGACAGGCAAAACAGAUCAUGCAGCUGAGAGAAGUCUGCUAUAGUUGAUCAAAGGAAGGGAAAGAGAAAUGAAAGGGAUGAAACAAUUGAGGAAAAAAGCCAGCUAUGAAGUGCCCCUCACAGGAGAACAAGACAGCAUCUUUGAACUUGAGAAACUUGAAGCCAAUAUUUGAAGAAGGUGUUAAGAGGAAUCUGCCUGAGUUACAACUAAUUACUAAUUACAACUUUAUAGACAAGGAGAAGUGUAUCCAUCUAGCAUCUGACAUUGCUGAUUUCAACAUAAAUAAGAAUAGGAAUGAGAAAACCCACUUUUAAGUCUCCAGGGCUUAUUAUCCCUCAGUCCUUUUGGGUUUGAAUUUGUGACUUUAUCUUCUCUGCCCUUUCCCCUUCCUUCCCAAGAGUCUCAAGUUUCUUUGGUUCCUUCUGCUGCUACUACUUUUAGUAGGCUACACAAAUCUAGGAGCAGAUUAGGAAUGGAUCUGAUGUAGAUGCAGAGAGUUGGAAUAACUCACUGCUUAAGAGUCACUCCUAGGAGAACUUUCUGUACCCAUUAAGCAUUUACUGACUUUCUGAGAAGCCUCGAAAUUCACUGUGUCAGAGGGCAGAGUGCUUUUCUUCAGCAGACAAAUUAAAUUUUGAGUUAAAUCCCCAAAUGUGCCUGUUAGCUUAUAGUAUUAUAUCCUGGCAUUUUUCUGAGAUUUUAUUGACACUUCAGGGAUAUCAGUUACUUGUCACACCAAGGGCUGAAAUACCACUGGCCCAGCCCAUUGCUUCCAACAAAAUAACACAGAAGAGGUAUUUUCUGUAAUUCAAUUUUCUGAAUGAAAAUACCACUAUUUUAUUCCUCAAUUCAAACACAAACAUAUCCACAUACAAUGGUCCCACCUCUUCCUAAAAUCAGAGCUACAGAAUCUUAUUUGGCCAAGGAAGGAGUACUGGGAAAAUAUUGAAAGUGAGUGUAUAAAACCUGCAGUCUUGGCAGAAGCAGUGUAAGUAUACUUUGAGAUACUUUAUGGCUGACUUCUGCUAUGAAACAAUUUUAUGCUUAGCAGGUAGAAGCAUACAGGUUAUGACUGGAUUCUAUGUCUGGACAUGGAAAGAAGGAUAACAAAAUAUAAAGAGGCCCAUCACAAGCUCUGACUUUGGAUAAAUAAUAGGUAUUGCAAUGGGAUUUUUGUCCUCAUGGUUGCAGUACUAUCUAUAGAUCAGUAGAAAAUUCAGUGAACUGAACUUAUAAGAACAAUACAAUAAAUUCUCUUGUAAUUUAAUUUCUUUAUUAAAGUAAGGAAUUAGAGUGGUGUAAAAAGUGAUGACUCAGUUACUUUUGUAUAAUUCCUACUUUUUCUUGUACCUCCUAGGUAUGGUUUGCUUCCAUAAAACCUUCAUAAAAUAAAUCAAACCUGAAUAUAUUAUUUGUGAAGUAUAUUCAAAAAAAUUGAGUUGUUUAUAGUGUUGACUGAGAAAAAAAUGUGUGAGGACUUACAGAUUGCCUCAUAGAUCAUCUACAAAUGAGUGAAUCAGGCCUCUAAUGUUUUGGUUGUUAUUUGGUAGUUCAAGGAAAUAUACUGGAAAUAGGAAAAAAUCAGGGUUAGUUAGACAUUUAAAAUAUAUUUUAUUCAUAUUAUUCUAGUGUGUUUAAGGGAGACUAUAAAGAAAAAACAGGAGAGAUCUUUCACAUAUGUAAAUCUUCUCUUUCAUCUCACAUUUCUUGAAAGUUGCUCUGAGUGAUGAUUUCCUUAGUUCCUAGAUAUGAGAAAUAGACAGUCUAUAUGAACAGUGAUUUUACUUUAUAUGGUUUUCAAUUAUUUAUCUUCAUUUGCAGAGGCAAGUUGUAGUGUAUAUCAGGAUAGGAAUUGACCUCCAGAGUUCUGCAUCAUUAAAAUGAACAAAAGUAUAAAGAUAUAUGAGUAAUUA